CCUACGGGAGACAGCAGUGAGGAAUAUUGGUCAAUGGACGAGAGUCUGAACCAGCCAAGUAGCGUGAAGGAUGACUGCCCUAUGGGUUGUAAACUUCUUUUAUAUGGGAAUAAAAUGUUCCACGUGUGGGAUUUUGUAUGUACCAUAUGAAUAAGGAUCGGCUAACUCCGUGCCAGCAGCCGCGGUAAUACGGAGGAUCCGAGCGUUAUCCGGAUUUAUUGGGUUUAAAGGGAGCGUAGGUGGAUUGUUAAGUCAGUUGUGAAAGUUUGCGGCUCGACCGUAAAAUUGCAGUUGAAACUGGCAGUCGUGAGUACAGUAGAGGUGGGCGGAAUUCGUGGUGUAGCGGUGAAAUGCUUAGAUAUCACGAAGAACUCCGAUUGCGAAGGCAGCUCACUGGACUGCAACUGACACUGAGGCUCGAAAGUGUGGGUAUCAAACAGGAUUAGAUACCCUAGUAGUC
rnacentral:rRNA from 1 species